GACGAACGCUGGCGGCGUGCUUAACACAUGCAAGUCGAACGGUAAGGCCCUUCGGGGUACACGAGUGGCGAACGGGUGAGUAACACGUGGGUGAUCUGCCCUGCACUUCGGGAUAAGCCUGGGAAACUGGGUCUAAUACCGGAUAGGACUCCUGGCUUCAUGGUUGGGGGUGGAAAGCUUUUGCGGUGUGGGAUGGGCCCGCGGCCUAUCAGCUUGUUGGUGGGGUAAUGGCCUACCAAGGCGAUGACGGGUAGCCGGCCUGAGAGGGUGACCGGUCACACUGGGACUGAGAUACGGCCCAGACUCCUACGGGAGGCAGCAGUGGGGAAUAUUGCACAAUGGGCGCAAGCCUGAUGCAGCGACGCCGCGUGAGGGAUGACGGCCUUCGGGUUGUAAACCUCUUUCAGCUAUGACGAAGCGCAAGUGACGGUAGUAGUAGAAGAAGGACCGGCCAACUACGUGCCAGCAGCCGCCGUAA
rnacentral:rRNA from 1 species